rnacentral:rRNA from 1 species
UGCAUAUCAAUAAGCGGAGGAAAAGAAACCAACAGGGAUUGCCCCAGUAACGGCGAGUGAAGCGGCAACAGCUCAAAUUUGAAAUCUGGCCCCUAGGGCCCGAGUUGUAAUUUGCAGAGGAUGCUUUUGGCAAGGUGCCUUCCGAGUUCCCUGGAACGGGACGCCAUAGAGGGUGAGAGCCCCGUCUGGUUGGAUGCCGAGCCUCUGUAAAGCUCCUUCGACGAGUCGAGUAGUUUGGGAAUGCUGCUCUAAAUGGGAGGUAUAUGUCUUCUAAAGCUAAAUACCGGCCAGAGACCGAUAGCGCACAAGUAGAGUGAUCGAAAGAUGAAAAGCACUUUGAAAAGAGGGUUAAAUAGUACGUGAAAUUGUUGAAAGGGAAGCACUUAUGACCAGACUUGGACCCGGUGAAUCAUCCAGCGUUCUCGCUGGUGCACUUUGCCGGGCUCAGGCCAGCAUCAGUUUGCCCCGGGGGAUAAAGGCUUUGGGAAUGUGGCUCCCUCGGGAGUGUUAUAGCCCAUUGCACAAUACCCUGGGGCGGACUGAGGUUCGCGCAUCUGCAAGGAUGCUGGCGUAAUGGUCAUCAGUGACCCGUCUUGAAACACGGACCA